rnacentral:sRNA from 1 species
AUUCAACGAAGUGCCUGUGAGUUGUGCUGGCCUCUCUCGGGGCAUGUGCACGCUUCAUGGGUCUUCACACAUCCACACCUGUGAACCAAUUGUAGGUCUUUCGGGACCUAUGUCUUCUCAUAACACACUGUAUGUCUAGAAUGUCAUUAUGAUUAUCGUCUGCUUCCUUUGUGGAGUUGGGCUGAUAAGAUAAACAAUAUACAACUUUCAGCAACGGAUCUCUUGGCUCUCGCAUCGAUGAAGAACGCAGCGAAUUGCGAUAUGUAAUGUGAAUUGCAGAUUUUCAGUGAAUCAUCGAAUCUUUGAACGCACCUUGCGCUCCUUGGUAUUCCGAGGAGCAUGCCUGUUUGAGUGUCAUUAAAUUCUCAACCCCAUCGAUUUGUUUCGGUUGUGGGAUUGGAUUGUGGGGGUUUGCUGGUGGACUUCUUGUCCGUCGGCUCCUCUGAAAUGUAUUAGCAAAGGUUGAUGUGCGAACCAGUGUCUCGGUGUGAUAAUGAUCAUCGUGCCUGACGUGCAGUGUCCUGUGCUUACAGUCGUCGUAAGACAACGUUUUGAACCUUUGACCUCAAAUCAGGUAGGAUUACCCGCUGAACUUAAGCAUAUCAAUAAGNGGAGGA